rnacentral:rRNA from 1 species
AUUGAACGCUUGCGGCAUGCCUUACACAUGCAAGUCGAACGGCAGCACGGGCUUCGGUCUGGUGGCGAGUGGCGAACGGGUGAGUAAAGUAUCGGAACGUACCUUUCAGUGGGGGAUAACGUAGCGAAAGUUACGCUAAUACCGCAUAUUCUGUGAGCAUGAAAGCAGGGGAUCGCAAGACCUCGCGCUGAUUGAGCGGCCGAUAGCAGAUUAGCUAGUUGGUGGGGUAAAGGCCUACCAAGGCGACGAUCUGUAGCGGGUCUGAGAGGAUGAGCCGCCACACUGGAACUGAGACACGGUCCAGACUCGUACGUGAGGCAGCAGUGGGGAAUUUUGGACAAUGGGGGCAACCCUGAUCCAGCAAUGCCGCGUGAGUGAAGAAGGCCUUCGGGUUGUAAAGCUCUUUCGGCCGGGAAGAAAUCGCAUGGGCUAAUACCCUGUGUGGAUGACGGUACCGGAAUAAGAAGCACCGGCUAACUACGUGCCAGCAGCCGCCGUAAAAC